GUGGACUGGGGGCUGCAGUGUUACAGCAUAAAACGUGAGCUGCUUGUACUUGGAGACUGAUUUCAGGUUUUCAUCCUACCAGCUGCUGAGCACUUCCAGCAAUGAUCUGACUGCUUUCAGUUUGACUGUAUGACCAUGGCAUCUGAGGACUAAGUACCUUGGAGAAAUGAAUCCUGUUUAUUCUGACAUUGCUUUUUUCACUUCUUGCUUGAAAAUGCUGUUCCUAUCUACCUGCUCAUGAUAAUUAAGGAAUAAAGAAACAGCACCAAAACACA